rnacentral:rRNA from 1 species
GAGAGUUGAUCAUGGCUCAGGAUGAACGCUAGCGGCAGGCUUAACACAUGCAAGUCGAGGGGCAACGCGAGUAGCAAUACUUGGCGGCGACCGGCGCAAGGGUGCGUAACGCGUGAGCAACAUGCCCGUAUCAGGGGGAUAAUCCAGGGAAACUUGGUCUAAUACCCCAUAGUAAUUUUGUAAGGCAUCUUAUAAGAUUUAAAGCUUUGGUGGAUACGGAUUGGCUCGCGUGACAUUAGCUGGAUGGUAAGGUAACGGCUUACCAUGGCUACGAUGUCUAGGGGUUCUGAGAGGAAGGUCCCCCACACUGGAACUGAGACACGGUCCAGACUCCUACGGGAGGCAGCAGUGAGGAAUAUUGGACAAUGGAUGGAAAUCUGAUCCAGCCAUGCCGCGUGAAGGAAGAAGGUCCUAUGGAUUGUAAACUUCUUUUGUAUGGGAGCAAUAAGGCCUACGAGUAGGUUGAUGAGAGUACCAUACGAAUAAGCACCGGCUAACUCCGUGCCAGCCGCAGC